rnacentral:rRNA from 1 species
UACCUUAGGGUAUGUGGGGUAGGGGAGCGUUCUGUAAGCCGUUGAAGGUGGUCUGUAAGGGCUGCUGGAGGUAUCAGAAGUGCGAAUGCUGACAUGAGUAACGAUAAAGGGAGUGAAAAACUCCCUCGCCGGAAGACCAAGGGUUCCUGUCCAACGUUAAUCGGGGCAGGGUAAGUCGACUCCUAAGGCGAGGCCGAAAGGCGUAGUCGAUGGGAAACGGGUUAAUAUUCCCGUACUUCUUACAAUUGCGAUGGGGGGACGGAGAAGGCUAGGUGGGCCUGGCGACGGUUGUCCAGGUUCAAGUACGUAGGCGGGUGGUUUAGGUAAAUCCGGACCGCUACUAACGCUGAGAUACGAUGUCGAGCUACUACGGUAGUGAAGUCAUUGAUGCCAUGCUUCCAGGAAAAGCCUCUAAGCUUCAGAUUGUAAGGAAUCGUACCCCAAACCGACACAGGUGGUCGGGUAGAGAAUACCAAGGCGCUUGAGAGAACUCGGGUGAAGGAACUAGGCAAAAUGGUACCGUAACUUCGGGAGAAGGUACGCUCUUAUCAGUGAAGUCCCUUGCGGAUGGAGCAGACGAGAGUCGCAGAUACCAGGUGGCUGCAACUGUUUAUUAAAAACACAGCACUGUGCAAAAUCGUAAGAUGACGUAUACGGUGUGACGCCUGCCCGGUGCCGGAAGGUUAAUUGAUGGGGUUAGACUUCGGUCGAAGCUCUUGAUCGAAGCCCCGGUAAACGGCGGCCGUAACUAUAACGGUCCUAAGGUAGCGAAAUUCCUUGUCGGGUAAGUUCCGACCUGCACGAAUGGCGUAAUGAUGGCCACGCUGUCUCCACCCGAGACUCAGUGAAAUUGAAAUCGCUGUGAAGAUGCAGUGUACCCGCGGCUAGACGGAAAGACCCCGUGAACCUUUACUACAGCUUGGCACUGAACAUUGAACCUACAUGUGUAGGAUAGGUGGGAGACUUUGAAACCGCGUCGCUAGAUGUGGUGGAGUCGUCCUUGAAAUACCACCCUUGUAGUUUUGAUGUUCUAACGUUGGUCCCUGAAUCGGGAUUACGGACAGUGCCUGGUGGGUAGUUUGACUGGGGCGGUCUCCUCCCAAAGAGUAACGGAGGAGCACGAAGGUGGGCUAAACACGGUUGGACAUCGUGUGGUUAGUGCAAUGGCAUAAGCCCGCUUGACUGCGAGAAUGACAAUUCGAGCAGGUGCGAAAGCAGGUCAUAGUGAUCCGGUGGUUCUGAAUGGAAGGGCCAUCGCUCAACGGAUAAAAGGUACUCCGGGGAUAACAGGCUGAUACCGCCCAAGAGUUCAUAUCGACGGCGGUGUUUGGCACCUCGAUGUCGGCUCAUCACAUCCUGGGGCUGAAGUCGGUCCCAAGGGUAUGGCUGUUCGCCAUUUAAAGUGGUACGCGAGCUGGGUUUAGAACGUCGUGAGACAGUUCGGUCCCUAUCUGCCGUGGGCGUUGGAAAAUUGAAAGGGGCUGCUCCUAGUACGAGAGGACCGGAGUGGACGAACCUCUGGUGUUCGGGUUGUCAUGCCAAUGGCAUUGCCCGGUAGCUAAGUUCGGAAUCGAUAACCGCUGAAAGCAUCUAAGCGGGAAGCGAGCCUUGAGAUGAGUUUUCCCUG